AGAAAGUGGUGUAGUGGAAGCACUAAGA
rnacentral:tRNA from 2 species